GAUGAACGCUGGCGGCGUGCCUAAUACAUGCAAGUCGAGCGAACGGACGAGAAUCUUGCUUCUCUGAUGUUAGCGGCGGACGGGUGAGUAACACGUGUAUAACCUACCUAUAAUACUGGGAUAACUUCGGGAAACCGUAGCUAAUACCGGCUAAUAUUUUGAACCGCAUGGUUCAAAAGUGUAAGACGGUCUUUCUGUCACUUAUAGAUUUAUCCGCGCUGCAUUAGCGAGUUGGUAAGGUAACGGCUUACCAAGGCAACGAUUCAUAGCCGACCUGAGAGGGUGAUCGGACACACUGGAACAGAGACACGGAAAAGACAACGACGGGAGGCAGCAGAAGGGAAGCUUGCGCAAUGGGCGAAAGCAUGACGGAGCAAGGCCGCGGGAGGGAUGAAGGUGUACGGAUCGUAAAACUCUGUUAGUAGGGAAGAAAAUAUGUGUAAGAAACUGUGAACAGAAUGACGGUAACUAAACAGAAAGCAACGGCUAACUACGUG
rnacentral:rRNA from 1 species